rnacentral:rRNA from 1 species
CGGGUGAGUAACGCGUGGGCAACCUGCCUUACACAGGGGGAUAACACGUUAGAAAUACGGUGCUAAUACCGCAUAAGCGCACAGCUUUGCAUGAAGCAGUGUGAAAAACUCCGGUGUGUAAGAUGGACCCGCGUCUGAUUAGCUGGUUGGCAGGGUAAAGGCCUACCAAGGCGACGAUCAGUAGCCGGCCUGAGAGGGUGAACGGCCACAUUGGGACUGAGACACGGCCCAGACUCCUACGGAAGGCAGCAG